GAUGAACGCUGGCGGCGUGCCUAAUACAUGCAAGUCGAGCGAACAGACGAGGAGCUUGCUCCUCUGUCGUUAGCGGCGGACGGGUGAGUAACACGUGGAUAACCUACCUUUAAGACUGGGAUAACUUCGGGAAAUCGGAGCUAAUACCGGAUAAUAUAUUGAACCGCAUGGUUCAAUAGUGAAAGACGGUUUUGCUUUCCCCUAUAGGAGGAUCCGCGCCGCAUUAGCUAGUUGGUAAGGUAACGGCUUACCAAGGCAACGAUGCGUAGCCGACCUGAGAGGGUGAUCGGCCACACUGGAACUGAGACACGGUCCAGACUCCUACGGGAGGCAGCAGUAGGGAAUCUUCCGCAAUGGGCGAAAGCCUGACGGAGCAACGCCGCGUGAGUGAUGAAGGUCUUCGGAUCGUAAAGCUCUGUUGUUAGGGAAGAACAAAUGUCUAAGUAACUGUGCACACCUUGACGGUACCUAAUCAGAAAGCCACGGCUAACUACGUG
rnacentral:rRNA from 1 species